rnacentral:rRNA from 1 species
GCCUGGUAGUCCACGCUGUAAACGAUGUCGACUUGGAGGUUGUGCCCUUGAGGCGUGGCUUCCGGAGCUAACGCGUUAAGUCGACCGCCUGGGGAGUACGGCCGCAAGGUUAAAACUCAAAUGAAUUGACGGGGGCCCGCACAAGCGGUGGAGCAUGUGGUUUAAUUCGAUGCAACGCGAAGAACCUUACCUACUCUUGACAUCCACGGAAUUCGCCAGAGAUGGCUUAGUGCCUUCGGGAACCGUGAGACAGGUGCUGCAUGGCUGUCGUCAGCUCGUGUUGUGAAAUGUUGGGUUAAGUCCCGCAACGAGCGCAACCCUUAUCCUUUGUUGCCAGCACGUAAUGGUGGGAACUCAAAGGAGACUGCCGGUGAUAAACCGGAGGAAGGUGGGGAUGACGUCAAGUCAUCAUGGCCCUUACGAGUAGGGCUACACACGUGCUACAAUGGCAUAUACAAAGAGAAGCGAACUCGCGAGAGCAAGCGGACCUCAUAAAGUAUGUCGUAGUCCGGAUUGGAGUCUGCAACUCGACUCCAUGAAGUCGGAAUCGCUAGUAAUCGUAGAUCAGAAUGCUACGGUGAAUACGUUCCCGGGCCUUGUACACACCGCCCGUCACACCAUGGGAGUGGGUUGCAAAAGAAGUAGGUAGCUUAAC